rnacentral:lncRNA from 1 species
UUCCUUAUAAAUGUCCCCCAUUAUCAGAAAAAUAAACAAGUACUUGUUAAAACAAAGUUUCUGGGUCUUUACAGUCAUUUUGCUUUUACUGUGUUACAGAUGUCAGAGAUGAAGCUGAUGAUAGAAGUGAUGAUGAUGAUGAAGAAGAAGACGUGAAAGAGCUGGAAGAACCUGCUAAUAAAGAGUAGGAGAAUGGAGAACCAAAAUGAAGAUGAAGAGUUUGCUGAUGAGGAGCAGGAGUCAGAGGUUCACCAUGAGACCAACAUUCUGAACAGAAAUGAGCAGGACGAAGCUGGACACUCUGUGCAUGAGGUCAACAGCCAAGGGGUGUCCACUGUGAGAAACAACGUACAGCUACCUCUACACCUGUGACAUCAUCAUCACAUCUCUGCUGAGGCUGCUCGCUGUUCUGGGAGCAGAAGGAGAAAAGAGAGGACUUUGACUCUCUGUCAUUCAUCGAGCUGCUUGUGGUGGAUCAUUCAGACAUCUUCCUCAUGGAGAACUGGGAACACGUCCUGCAAGUACACCUGCAUCUGUUGGAUUCUUUCUUAGUCGACUCAUCCAGAGGCAGGACGUGGAACCUGAACACUCGGGGCAGACGCUACAUGCAGACGCUGGUGUUCAGCUCCAUCCAGAACCCACAGAUUGAUAACACCUCACCAAACGUUGUUCCAACUACAGAGGACAGGUACACUCUGCUGUUCACUUUUUAUUGAAAGGAAAUAGAUUUUAUUUUAUUAAGAACUGUUUUUCAUUUGUACUGUCAUGAUGUGUGUUUGGCCUCAGA